UACGUAGGGUGCAAGCGUUGUCCGGAUUUAUUGGGCGUAAAGAGCUCGUAGGCGGUUUGUCGCGUCGGCCGUGAAAUCUCCACGCUUAACGUGGAGCGUGCGGUCGAUACGGGCAGACUUGAGUUCGGUAGGGGAGACUGGAAUUCCUGGUGUAGCGGUGAAAUGCGCAGAUAUCAGGAGGAACACCAACAGCGAAGGCAGCACUCUGGGCCGGUACUGACGCUGAGGAGCGAAAGCAUGGGGAGCGAACAGG
rnacentral:rRNA from 1 species